rnacentral:rRNA from 1 species
CAAUAGCGUAUAUUAAAGUUGUUGCAGUUAAAAAGCUCGUAGUUGGACUUCUGAUGUGGGACUGCGCCCCGGUAUUUUGUCCGUUGGGUGCGGGCUCGCGUCUUCCUCUCGUAGUUGGAUGGUGCACUUAACUGGGUGCCUUCUGAAUAUGGGACCUUUACUUUGAAAAAAUUAAGAGUGUUCAAAGACAGGCAAUCGCUUGAAUACAUUAGCAUGGAAUAAUAGAAUAGGACUUUGGUUCUAUUUUGUUGGUUUCUAGGACCGAAGUAAUGAUUAAUAGGGACAGUUGGGGGCGAUUAGUAUUUAAUUUGUCAGAGGUGAAAUUACUUUGGAUUUAUGAAAGAACUAACUACUGCGAAAG